AGGCUUAACACAUGCAAGUCGAGCGCCCCGCAAGGGGAGCGGCAGACGGGUGAGUAACGCGUGGGAACGUACCCUUUACUACGGAAUAACGCAGGGAAACUUGUGCUAAUACCGUAUGUGCCCUUUGGGGGAAAGAUUUAUCGGUAAAGGAUCGGCCCGCGUUGGAUUAGCUAGUUGGUGGGGUAAAGGCCUACCAAGGCGACGAUCCAUAGCUGGUCUGAGAGGAUGAUCAGCCACAUUGGGACUGAGACACGGCCCAAACUCCUACGGGAGGCAGCAGUGGGGAAUAUUGGACAAUGGGCGCAAGCCUGAUCCAGCCAUGCCGCGUGAGUGAUGAAGGCCCUAGGGUUGUAAAGCUCUUUCACCGGAGAAGAUAAUGACGGUAUCCGGAGAAGAAGCCCCGGCUAACUUCGUGCCAGCAGCCGCGGUAAUACGAAGGGGGCUAGCGUUGUUCGGAAUUACUGGGCGUAAAGCGCACGUAGGCGGAUCGAUCAGUCAGGGGUGAAAUCCCAGGGCUCAACCCUGGAACUGCCUUUGAUACUGUCGAUCUGGAGUAUGGAAGAAGUGAAGUGGAAUUCCGAGUGUAGAGGUGAAAUUCGUAGAUAUUCGGA
rnacentral:rRNA from 1 species